rnacentral:rRNA from 1 species
UGGGGAAUAUUGCACAAUGGGCGAAAGCCUGAUGCAGCAACGCCGCGUGAGUGAUGAAGGCCUUCGGGUUGUAAAGCUCUGUCUUUUGGGACGAUAAUGACGGUACCAAAGGAGGAAGCCACGGCUAACUACGUGCCAGCAGCCGCGGUAAUACGUAGGUGGCAAGCGUUGUCCGGAUUUACUGGACGUAAAGGAUGCGUAGGCGGAUUUUUAAGUGAGAUGUGAAAACCCUAAGCUUAACUUGGGGACUGCAUUUCAUACUGGAAAUCUAGAGUGCGGGAGAGGAGAAUGGAAUUCCUAGUGUAGCGGUGAAAUGCGUAGAGAUUAGGAAGAACACCAGUGGCGAAGGCGAUUUCUGGACCGUAACUGACGCUGAGGCAUGAAAGCGUGGGUAGCAAACAGGAUUAGAUACCCUGGUAGUCCACGCCGUAAACGAUGAGUACUAGGUGUAGGAGGUAUCGACCCCUUCUGUGCCGCAGUUAACACAAUAAGUACUCCGCCUGGGAAGUACGAUCGCAAGAUUAAAACUCAAAGGAAUUGACGGGGUCAUAGCUGUUUCCU